rnacentral:lncRNA from 1 species
AUUGAGGGCGGGGAGGGGGGAGGCAGGUGGGACUUCCCUUAAUUUUAUCUUCAUGUCCAGUGAGCAGUGUUGUGUCCUUCCCUUGUGGCAUUUGGAAAUGAUUUACUGGAAUUACAAAACCUAUUUUUCUUUUAAAUUUCAGCUUUGGCUCUGGCUGCUUUUUAGAAUAAUGCAAGAUAAAAACCACAUCUGAGGGCUAAAAAAAAAUGAAGAGGGAAUGGGAGACUUGAUAUUUAAGCAGCUUGAAUGGUUUCUUUUCUUUUCUUUAUUUUUAAAGAAAUGCACUUGCCUAUGAUACUGUCUCUCCAGUGAAAUGAUUACUCCUCCAUUACUCUAUUGAUACAAUAUUGU